rnacentral:rRNA from 1 species
GACGAACGCUGGCGGCGUGCCUAAUACAUGCAAGUUGAGCGCUGAAGGUUGGUACUUGUACCGACUGGAUGAGCAGCGAACGGGUGAGUAACGCGUGGGGAAUCUGCCUUUGAGCGGGGGACAACAUUUGGAAACGAAUGCUAAUACCGCAUAAAAACUUUAAACACAAGUUUUAAGUUUGAAAGAUGCAAUUGCAUCACUCAAAGAUGAUCCCGCGUUGUAUUAGCUAGUUGGUGAGGUAAUGGCUCACCAAGGCGAUGAUACAUAGCCGACCUGAGAGGGUGAUCGGCCACAGUGGGACUGAGACACGGCCCAAACUCCUACGGGAGGCAGCAGUAGGGAAUCUUCGGCAAUGGACGAAAGUCUGACCGAGCAACGCCGCGUGAGUGAAGAAGGUUUUCGGAUCGUAAAACUCUGUUGGUAGAGAAGAACGUUGGUGAGAGUGGAAAGCUCAUCAAGUGACGGUAACUACCCAGAAAGGGACGGCUAACUACGUG